rnacentral:rRNA from 1 species
UACGGGGGGAGCAAGCGUUGUUCGGAUUUACUGGGCGUAAAGGGCGCGUAGGCGGUCGUGACAAGUCACUUGUGAAAUCUCCGGGCUUAACUCGGAACGGUCAAGUGAUACUGUCGGACUAGAGUACAGAAGGGGCAACUGGAAUUCUCGGUGUAGCGGUGAAAUGCGUAGAUAUCGAGAGGAACACCUGCGGCGAAGGCGGGUUGCUGGGCUGAUACUUACGCUGAGGCGCGAAAGCCAGGGGAGCGAACGGG